rnacentral:tRNA from 1 species
GCCUGGGUGGCUCAGUCAGUUAAGCGUGUGACUUCGGCUCAGGUCAUGACCUCACGUCCGUGGGUUCAAGCCCCACAUCAGGCU